rnacentral:misc_RNA from 1 species
UGUUCGUGUCGCUCGGCGUGCUGCUGUAUCAAUACGCCCGCGCGAAGGGCCUGGACAUUCCCGGCAAAACUGACGAUCUCUUUCCCACGCUGGCGUUGACUCAGCUCGGCGCGUUCGCAGCCGUUGUGUUCAUAGUGGGCUUGACGGCCGCCACGUUUUCCAGCGCGGACUCGGUGUUGACCACCCUCACCACGUCCUUCUGCCUGGACCUGCUUGGCAUGGAAGAGCGCCAAGACCUGACGGACGCGCAUCGGACGGCAUUGCGCCACCGGGUCCAUGUUGGCUUCGCUGUGGUAUUAUGGCUGGUGAUCCUUGGAUUCCAGGCCCUCAACAGCAAGGCGAUCAUUGACGCCAUCUUCACGCUCGCGAGCUAUACCUAUGGACCGCUACUGGGAUUAUUUGCGUUCGGGUUGUUCGCCCGAUCAGUCAUCCGGGAUCGCUGGGUGCCGGUGGUGUGCUGCGCGUCUCCGGCGCUCUGUUUCAUCCUGCAACAAAACUCCGCGGCCUGGUUCCAUGGUUACAAGCUGGGGUUUGAGCUGCUCAUUCUGAACGGCCUGCUGACUUGUGUCGGGCUGUGGUUGAUCCGGGCAAAAACAGAGUCUCCGGCUGCACGAUGAACCUUCACGAGCAGUUUGACGCGUUGCUCAGGCGUCCCGGCCCCCUGCUUGCCCUCGCGCCGAUGCAGGACGUGACCGACGGCGCGUUCUGGAAUCUCAUGCACCGCUACGGCGGCGCGGAUGUUUACUGGACGGAAUAUUUCCGCGUCCAUGCGACGUCGCGACUGGAGACCUGGAUCGUUGAAUCCAUCGAACAUAACAGUACGGGCCACCCGGUGAUCGCGCAGAUGAUCGGCAACGACAUUCCAUCGCUCGUCCGCACCGUGAAGGAAUUGCAGCAACUCCCGGUCGCGGCGAUUGAUCUGAAUCUCGGCUGCCCGGCGCCGAUCGUUUACAAGAAAUGCGCGGGCGGCGGUCUGCUCCGCGAACCCCAACGGAUUGACGCGAUCCUCGGUGCAUUGCGCGAGGCGGUGACCGUCAAGUUUACCGUCAAAACGCGCGUGGGAUUCGCUUCGCCGGACGAGUUUGAGGCGCUACUGCCGAUCUUUGCGAAGCAUUCGAUUGAUUUGCUGACGGUUCACGCGCGCACGGUGGCCCAGAUGUAUCGCCUGCCGGUCCAUUACAAUUUGAUCCGCCGCGCGGCCGAAGCCAUGCAAUGCCCGGUCAUAGCCAACGGCCACGUCUAUUCGGCGGACCAGGCACUCGACGUGCUAGCUCAGACGAAGGCCCGAGGAUUGAUGAUUGGCCGCGGGGUGAUUCGCAGUCCGUGGCUCUUCAAUCAAAUCCGUCAGCGCCAGCGCGGCGAUCCAG